UACGUAGGUGGCGAGCGUUGUCCGGAUUUACUGGGCGUAAAGGGCUUGUAGGCGGUCCGUUAAGUCCGAUGUGAAAUCUCCCGGCUCAACUGGGAGAGGUCAUUGGAUACUGGCGGACUAGAGGGGGGUAGAGGAAAGCAGAAUUCCUGGUGUAGCGGUGAAAUGCGUAGAUAUCCGGAGGAACACCAGUGGCGAAGGCGACUUUCUGGCCUGUUCUUGACGCUGAGGCGCGAAAGCUAGGGGAGCAAACGGG
rnacentral:rRNA from 1 species